rnacentral:rRNA from 1 species
GACGUAGGGUGCAAGCGUUGUCCGGAUUUAUUGGGCGUAAAGCGCGUGUAGGCGGCCACGCAGGUCCGCUGUGAAAACUCGAGGCUCAACCUCGAGCUGUCGGUGGAAACCGCGUGGCUAGAGUCCGGAAGAGGAGUGUGGAAUUCCUGGUGUAGCGGUGAAAUGCGCAGAUAUCAGGAAGAACACCUAUGGCGAAGGCAGCACUCUGGGACGGUACUGACGCUGAGACGCGAAAGCGUGGGGAGCGAACAGG